rnacentral:rRNA from 1 species
AUUGAACGCUGGCGGCAGGCUUAACACAUGCAAGUCGAGCGGAGUGAUGGUGCUUGCACUAUCACUUAGCGGCGGACGGGUGAGUAAUGCUUAGGAAUCUGCCUAUUAGUGGGGGACGACAUCUCGAAAGGGAUGCUAAUACCGCAUACGUCCUACGGGAGAAAGCAGGGGAUCACUUGUGACCUUGCGCUAAUAGAUGAGCCUAAGUCGGAUUAGCUAGUUGGUGGGGUAAAGGCCUACCAAGGCGACGAUCUGUAGCGGGUCUGAGAGGAUGAUCCGCCACACUGGGACUGAGACACGGCCCAGACUCCUACGGGAGGCAGCAGUGGGGAAUAUUGGACACUGGGGGGAACCCUGAUCCAGCCAUGCCGCGUGUGUGAAGAAGGCCUUAUGGUUGUAAAGCACUUUAAGCGAGGAGGAGGCUCUUUUGGUUAAUACCCAAGAUGAGUGGACGUUACUCGCAGAAUAAGCACCGGCUAACUCUGUGCCAGCCGCCGCAGUAA